GACGAACGCUGGCGGCGUGCUUAACACAUGCAAGUCGAGCGAGGCCCCUCCUUCGGGAGGGUGUCCUAGCGGCGAACGGGUGAGUAACACGUGGGCAACCUGCCCUCAGCUCUGGGAUAACUCCGGGAAACCGGGGCUAAUACCGGAUACGACCUCCACGGGCAUCUGCGGAAGUGGAAAGUUUUUCGGCUGAGGAUGGGCCCGCGGCCUAUCAGCUAGUUGGUGGGGUAGUGGCCCACCAAGGCGACGACGGGUAGCCGGCCUGAGAGGGCGACCGGCCACACUGGGACUGAGACACGGCCCAGACUCCUACGGGAGGCAGCAGUGGGGAAUAUUGCGCAAUGGGCGAAAGCCUGACGCAGCGACGCCGCGUGAGGGACGAAGGCCUUCGGGUUGUAAACCUCUUUCAGCAGGGACGAAGCGAAAGUGACGGUACCUGCAGAAGAAGCACCGGCCAACUACGUG
rnacentral:rRNA from 1 species